rnacentral:rRNA from 1 species
GACGUAGGGCGCGAGCGUUGUCCGGAUUUAUUGGGCGUAAAGAGCUCGUAGGCGGCUUGUCGCGUCGACUGUGAAAUCCCGCGGCUCAACCGCGGGUCUGCAGUCGAUACGGGCAGGCUAGAGUUCGGUAGGGGGAGACUGGAAUUCCUGGUGUAGCGGUGAAAUGCGCAGAUAUCAGGAGGAACACCGAUGGCGAAGGCAGGUCUCUGGGGCCGAUACUGACGCUGAGGAGCGAAAAGCGUGGGGGAGCGAACAGG